GCGACCCCCGGAUGGGCGAGGCCACCCGCUGAGUUUAAGCAUUC
rnacentral:rRNA from 1 species